UAACUGAAAAGCCCAUAGCCUACUACACAUCAUCGCCGUAUCUGAAAGCUCUGUGAUUUCCCGAGCUCCGCUCUAAUCAGUCACAGUCGCAAUCGUCAUCGAAGAAGGGUUUGCUGCAUUUGUGAGGAGUUAAUUUUGAUCAGGAGAAAAUGAAGUUUGUUAUGGAAUUCGCGGAGAACUUGAUCCUGAGGAUGAUGGAGGAUCCGAAGGAGAGGGAUCGGAAGUUUAGAGAACAUCUCUACACAUUGAAGGAUAAGUGCAACAAGACGAAGGAGAUGUGGAACCUUCCUCUGCGUCCGUACGGUUUCUGGACUUUUGACCGUCACAACGCUCAGAUCUUUUGGGAUUCUAAGAUCAGUCAAGCUCCAGGCCGCCGUGAUCCCUACGAUGACCUUAUUCAGGACGCCCAAGGCUCAUCUGCUCCUUCCUCUUCUAGCUCAACUGAUAAGUGAUUAUGAAGACAAGUAGCAGCUAGCCAGAUUGAUUAUGGGCUGGCUAUUCAUCGCUCGCAGGAAACAUGAUGGAGUCUUGGUUUUCUUCGUACAUGGUGUAAUGUUAGAGUUAGAAUUGAAUAAAUUUUGUGCUGUGUACGGUUAAAGAUGCAGUGAUACACCUUCUCUAAUGAGAAGGCAGCAACCCUCUACUCAUUUUGAUGUUGCAUUUGAAAUCCUCAUGUUUGAUUGUUGAAAACAUUCUGUUGAAUGCUAUUAUUCUAAUUCAUGUCUACUUGCAAUUGUGGCUU